CAGUAGCCGCGGUAAUACGAAGGUCCCGAGCGUUGUUCGGAAUCACUGGGCGUAAAGGGAGCGUAGGCGGCGUGGUAAGUCAGAUGUGAAAUCCCGGGGCUCAACCCCGGAACUGCAUCCGAUACUGCCAUGCUAGAGGAUUGGAGAGGUAGCUGGAAUUCUUGGUGUAGCAGUGAAAUGCGUGGAGAUCAAGAGGAACACUCGUGGCGAAAGCGAGCUACUGGACAAUAACUGACGCUGAGGCACGAAAGCGUGGGGAGCAAACAGGAUUAGAUACCCCUGUAGUCCCUGUCUCUUAUAA
rnacentral:rRNA from 1 species